rnacentral:rRNA from 1 species
CCAAACUGUUGCCUCGGCGGGGUCACGCCCCGGGUGCGUCGCAGCCCCGGAACCAGGCGCCCGCCGGAGGAACCAACCAAACUCUUUCUGUAGUCCCCUCGCGGACGUUAUUUCUUACAGCUCUGAGCAAAAAUUCAAAAUGAAUCAAAACUUUCAACAACGGAUCUCUUGGUUCUGGCAUCGAUGAAGAACGCAGCGAAAUGCGAUAAGUAAUGUGAAUUGCAGAAUUCAGUGAAUCAUCGAAUCUUUGAACGCACAUUGCGCCCGCCAGUAUUCUGGCGGGCAUGCCUGUCCGAGCGUCAUUUCAACCCUCGAACCCCUCCGGGGGAUCGGCGUUGGGGAUCGGGACCCCUCACACGGGUGCCGGCCCCUAAAUACAGUGGCGGUCUCGCCGCAGCCUCUCCUGCGCAGUAGUUUGCACAACUCGCACCGGGAGCGCGGCGCGUCCACGUCCGUAAAACACCCAACUUUCUGAAAUGUUGACCUCGGAUCAGGUAGGAAUACCCGCUGAACUUAAGCAUAUCAAUAAGCGGAGGAA